CCUAGCCCGCCGAGUUUCUCCGGCGGCGUUGUCGCUGUGUCGUCGCCGGAGAGUCACCCUUUACCUUCUUUUUUCUCCUUUUCCUUUUGCCUUCGUUAACGUCCCUUCCCCUCAGCGAGAUGCGUGUGAACUCUGGCUUCUUCGGCUCUUCAGAUCUCAGAUCUGGCCGUGUAGUGCGGUUUCCGAGUUUCUGGAGUCACAGCGAGUUGAGUCAGGAAGGUGUCGUUAUCGGAGGUCGGCUUUUAGGGUUGGAUUUUGGAUGGAGCUAUUUUCCCCUUGUCGCUCCGUGUACCUCCGUAGAUGUCUAAUCUGUGCCGUCGUCGCUCUCCUCCGAGCUUCAGUGUUCUUUCGCAGGCGUUAGUGGAUGAGCUCCGGUUGGAUUCGACAUCUGAACCCGUCUUUUCUUCAUUCCGGAAGAACUGAAACUCAUGCUCUUGGAGAUGUUGUUUCGCUCUGUUCCGGCGGCUCGGUUUUGGAGUCAAGACUAGGAACUCGUGAUGGAAGGUCUUGUGUGGCAGUUUACGCACCAGUUUGGUGGGGAACCCGUUUCUGUGUUUGAAAAGAAAUCUGCAACUAAGGUAUCUUCUCAUUAUGUGGUUCUUUUGGCUUGGAAUCCAUAUAAUAAGGCUGGAGUACGACUGAUAUCUGGACGGGACUUGAGGGUGAAGUAUGCGCCUUGGCGUUGAGUUGGUAUGAUCCAAGUUCUGAAUGUCAAUUAAGUGGUGAUCUCCAGCAAGGUCUUAGUUUGGAAUUCAUCUGUUAAGUCUAGUUUUCAGUUUUAGUCAAUGCUCGUGUAAUUAGUGGUUUAAGGGACAGUUCAUUUUCACCAUUUUGGUAAAGUGAAUUUGUUUCCAUGGUGGUCAAAGUGAUAGGUAGUUAGAUGAGGCAAUGUAGGAUCCAAAUAAGUGAUCUUAGAUGAUGCUACAUCUACUUCCAUAUAUCACAUUGUGGUUAAAGCCUCUUGAGGCAUUGUGGUCACAAUUGUUUGUAUCAAAACAUUUGGCUAAUGAUAAGUUGAUGUUGAGUUAAAAAAAAA
rnacentral:lncRNA from 1 species